GACGAACGCUGGCGGCGUGCCUAAUACAUGCAAGUAGAACGCACAGUUUAUACCGUAGCUUGCUACACCAUAGACUGUGAGUUGCGAACGGGUGAGUAACGCGUAGGUAACCUGCCUGGUAGCGGGGGAUAACUAUUGGAAACGAUAGCUAAUACCGCAUAAUAUUAAUUAUUGCAUGAUAAUUAAUUGAAAGGUGCAAUUGCACCACUACCAGAUGGACCUGCGUUGUAUUAGCUAGUAGGGGAGGUAACGGCUCACCUAGGCGACGAUACAUAGCCGACCGUGGAGGGGGAUCGGCCAACCUGGGAAUGAGACACGGCCCAGACUCCUACGGGAGGCAGCAGUAGGGAAUCUUCGGCAAUAGACGAAAGUCUGACCGAGCAACGCCGCGUGAGGGAAGAAGGGUUUCGGAUCGUAAAGCUCGGUUGUAAGAGAAGAACGGGUGUGAGAGUGGAAAGUUCACACUGUGACGGUAGCUUACCAGAAAGGGACGGCUAACUACGUG
rnacentral:rRNA from 1 species